rnacentral:rRNA from 1 species
UGGGGAAUUUUGGACAAUGGGCGCAAGCCUGAUCCAGCCAUGCCGCGUGCGGGAAGAAGGCCUUCGGGCUGUAAACCGCUUUUGUCAGGGAAGAAAUCUUCUGAGUUAAUACCUCGGGAGGAUGACGGUACCUGAAGAAUAAGCACCGGCUAACUACGUGCCAGCAGCCGCGGUAAUACGUAGGGUGCAAGCGUUAAUCGGAAUUACUGGGCGUAAAGCGUGCGCAGGCGGUUUUGUAAGACAGAGGUGAAAUCCCCGGGCUCAACCUGGGAACUGCCUUUGUGACUGCAAGGCUUGAGUGCGGCAGAGGGGGAUGGAAUUCCGCGUGUAGCAGUGAAAUGCGUAGAUAUGCGGAGGAACACCGAUGGCGAAGGCAAUCCCCUGGGCCUGCACUGACGCUCAUGCACGAAAGCGUGGGGAGCAAACAGGAUUAGAUACCCUGGUAGUCCACGCCCUAAACGAUGUCAACUGGUUGUUGGGAAGGUUCCUUCUCAGUAACGUAGCUAACGCGUGAAGUUGACCGCCUGGGGAGUACGGCCGCAAGGUUGAAACUCAAAUGAAUUGACGGGGU